GCUUGGGCAAAGGAAAAGUCGCUAUAGCACAUUGUCUUGUUUUGACUUAUGAGUGACCAGAGUGAGAGGGGGAAGGAAGAGGACAGACUGUGAAAUCUGGAAUCUGUGUGUGUGUGUGUGGUGUGAGUCUCUUUCUCUCACGCAUUCAGCAUGCUAAGUGCAGUGAUGGACUGCCAUGUGUCAUAGCGUGACUUGGUAGCUUUGAUUGGUGGAAAAGCAAGGACUCUUUCUGGGCUGGGAUGGAGGAAAGAAGAGAUAAUUUGUUCCUAUCAUGAGAUGACAGGAAGUGUCUGAAUGGAUCCUUGUAAGUUUGUUGAUGGAGCCAACAUUUUGGUGGAUCUGGGCUUUAGUCUUCCUCCGGUUUUGUGAUUUUGCUGUGUUUACCUUGACGUUUUAAAUAUUAACCUGGAAGACUAGACUUUCUUUGAGGUCUGCAAAAAGACUCGCAAGGAUGUGUUCUGUGGUAGUACCAUUCUUCUUAACUUCAAGGAAUAUUUUUAAGUCCUAGAGAAUGGGAUAAACAGUACCAUUUUGGAAGUGGAGUGAGGAUAAGCGGCAUCAGCACGGUCUUAUUGGUGUCUUUCCUAUUAACAUUUACUUCGCGUUGACUGUUUUGUGGCAUGUUGGUUUUUCCAGGCAGACCACAGAAUAUGCAUGACCCCGGAGGAAGGACCCAUAUCCCUGAGGUACAACUCUGUUCUUGUUUAAAAACAAAACACAUCUUAGCGUAAUAAAAUGUCCAAUGGAAUGAAUGGAGGUGGUUGGAUUUUUUCAGGUAAGAAGCUCUCUUGCCCACAAUUUAGUGCAGAGUUGUGCUGUUAAACUGCUGUUACAUACCACUGCAUGAAAAUCUGCAUUUCAGCUAUGAGUGAAGGAUUCUAAUGUAUAUAGUCUGUAAAGCACUUUGGGAAAGAAGGAAAGAAAAUAUUUAGAGCAGCACAAAUCUGAAAAUUAAACUGGGAGAGUUGGGAAAUAUUUUGCCCUUCUAUAGUACAUUCUACCUGAGAAUCUAUAAGAUUACAUUAACAAAUGAAUCCUUACAAUAUCCUUGUAAGGUAGGUAUUUUUACUUGCAUUUUAUCAAUGGGGAAAUGAAACAGAAAUAUUUGUGGGCUCGCUAUGGUCACGUAGCAAGUCAGUCAGUAGCAGACCCAGGAAUAGUAUCCAGCUCUCCUGACUCCUAAUUGUGCGCUUUAACCAUUAUAUUAUGCUCCUUCUGAUGUACAGAUAUAGACUGUACACCUCUGCAUCUUCAGUCUCUUAUUACAAGGUGCCUGCUCUUCCAACAGUUAAAUGUUAGUCAUUAAUGGACAUUGAAAAUAUUUCUUUGGUAGUCUCAGAAUCUGAUUAUCUUGUUCUUUAUAUAAUGAAUAUGCAAAGAUGUUAAAAUAGAUUUCACACUGAUGACACACAUGCUGCCACCCCCUAAGAAUCACUUAGGAAAACUCUAUUGUCCACUGGAGAUCAUGAUCCACUUAAAAUUGACAUUUACACCUGGCUGAGUAGUUAUUGUAUCCAUGCAGUAAUAAUGACUGGCAAGUAGAUGGCGUACCUGCAGCAGGCAGAGUAAGUCUAUGAAGGCCAGGCAAAGGGAUGAAAACAGCAGAGACACCUUGUUGCCUUGACUCCCCCUCUUGCUUGUCAGCAGCUGGACGCCUGACAGAGACCGGGGGAAAAGAGCAACAUGGGAAAGAGGAGGAGGAAUGGCACUGAGCCAGCCUUCAACACAAAGCCCCCAGCGGCAGGCUCAGGCUUUUCCCAGCACAGGGUGUAUGUCCUGCUGGUGACAGCUCCAGCCUGAGAGAGGGAGCCAUCUAGGAGAAGGAAGAAGUAAGGGGGGCGGGGGUCCUAUCCCCCUUGCAGAGUAUAGCUACCUCAUCCCAAAGCCUGCAGCAGCCAGAGGGGCUUUAGCUGCUUGCUGGUGUUUUGUUUUUCCUCUGUGUAAAUGGAUGUAGGACCAAAGGAGAGGUGGAAAUCUCAGUGGCUGCCUCCUGCCUCACAGACAACUGGGGACAAUCAACAAAUAAAGCAGCAGCAGACAAGCCUCACGCUGCUGCUGUUGCCACACAGAGGCUGGCUUCUACAUGCCCACACCCAGACUUACUUUAGUUCCCGUGGCAAGCUGCAAGGCUACAACAUUCUUGUUAGAAACAGGUUUGGUGCAUGUGUGUUGGUGUUGGGAGGGGAACUCUUGGGGGUGGGGGGGGAGAGGACAAGAGCCCAUAGAGCAGCAGUGCUAGGGGACAAGGCCCCUGGUGCUGAGGGGUGGGGACUGAGCUCUUGCUGAAGUUCUGGAGUGGCAGAGCUGUUGUGGCUGGCAGGGGAAGAGCUGUUGCUGCAAGGAGGCUGGUGAGGGCAGAGCUUAGCUACUGGGCUGACCUCCGGUCGCUGCAAGUGGGAACAGAAUUCUUGCUAUUGGUUGGGAGGGGAAAGAGUUUUGCUGCUGCUUGGGUGCUACUGGAGGCCCAUAUCUGGGUGACGAUCUUGACAAAUGACCUGUGUUCCAAUGAACAUUGAAGUGAUACAAUCCUUUGCGGGGGGCUACUGCUCCUGAGAGUUUGGUUUGAGGAGCCAGCUGUGAACAGGAGAUGCUGCUUGUGCUACCAAGCUCCCAUCGUGACUUGAGUAGUAGUUAGCUGACAGCCCUAGCCCACUGGUUGCAGAAGCAAGGAAAAAAGAACUGGAGUACUUGUGGCACCUUAGAGACUAACAAAUUUAUUAGAGCAUAAGCUUUCGUGAACUACAGCCCACUUCUUCGGAUGCAAGGAACAGUCUCUUAUGGAUUCAGUAAAGCUCAUUUCUUACACAUAAAUUUAUCUCAUAAGUUUUCAAAACCAGUAUGAAAUGUGCACAUCUGUAAAGGCACAACCCUCUUAGGACCCACUACAACUGUAAAUUGGUAGCAUUUGAUUGGUAAGAUUUAACAAUAAAACAGAUUUAUCUCCAUUCCUAUGGGACAUGGAUUAAUCUAGACAGAGUUCUCAGUGCUGCUGAAAGGCAGAAAACUCUACUACAUGAAAAGAAUCCAGAUCCUUUGAAAUCCAGUUCUCAGUUUAGAUAUGAUUCUUAGCAUUUGUUUUUUAAAAAAGUUUUAUUUCUGCUUUUAUGAUUAGAUUUAAAAGUAUUUAGUGAAUUAUAUCAUAUAAAAUUACAUGUUAUAUACUUUAAUUUCACUUGUAUUGUGGGGAACAGUGUUGUACAAAUUGUUCUAAAAGUUGUGGCAUUGUAUUCGCUGUAAAAGGAGCAGAGUGAAGUUAGUUCCACUUUAUAUUAAUUUGAAUACUUAAUUUCUAAGCUUUGUAAUGUCUGUAUCUUUUAAGAAAAUUCCAAUAGUUUCUGAAAGAUUUCAACUGAAGUAAGAGAGAGAGUCUUCCACCUUAACUCCAAGUUAAUAAAGUUUCUCUUCUCCCUCCAUUAGAACCGGCUAGCAGGUGAGCUCCAAAUAGAGCAGAGAAGGAGUCAACAGGCGGUGGAGAAGAGCUGAACUCCACUGAAUCUCUGGUCUAGACAUAGGCCACUACAUGAACUAGGCCAUAGGCCACUACAGCGCACAAGCGACCAGGGAGCUUUUGCGAACAGGGGCUGCUAAGGGAGUUUCGCAAGGGAGUUCUCCAGGUGAAGGAGGAGCAAUACAGCACCCUUGGGGUAGGGGCCCAGGCAGAGACAGAUGCAUCAUG